GAUGAACGCUGGCGGCGUGCUUAACACAUGCAAGUCGAACGAUGAAGCCCAGCUUGCUGGGUGGAUUAGUGGCGAACGGGUGAGUAACACGUGAGUAACCUGCCCUUAACUCUGGGAUAAGCCUGGGAAACUGGGUCUAAUACCGGAUAGGGGCGCCUACCGCAUGGUGGGUGUUGGAAAGAUUUAUCGGUUUUGGAUGGACUCGCGGCCUAUCAGCUUGUUGGUGAGGUAAUGGCUCACCAAGGCGACGACGGGUAGCCGGCCUGAGAGGGUGACCGGCCACACUGGGACUGAGACACGGCCCAGACUCCUACGGGAGGCAGCAGUGGGGAAUAUUGCACAAUGGGCGAAAGCCUGAUGCAGCGACGCCGCGUGAGGGAUGACGGCCUUCGGGUUGUAAACCUCUUUCAGUAGGGAAGAAGCGAAAGUGACGGUACCUGCAGAAGAAGCACCGGCUAACUACGUG
rnacentral:rRNA from 1 species